rnacentral:lncRNA from 1 species
CGGAGGGUAGAAACACGGUUUGAAGUCCGCUACAAUGCUUAUCUUGCUUUAGAUGUGAGACACAAUCUUCGUCCACUUUUAGAUCUUUAUCGCCUUAGGGUUCUCGAGAGGGUUAAUUGCCUUGAUACAUGGCACCGGAACUGUUCAGGAUCUCUGCAUAGUCGACAAGGUCUUAAAAACUUCGGGCUCGAAAGAUUCUGAUUUCUU